AGUGAACGCUGGCGGUGGGCCUAACACAUGCAAGUCGAACGGCAGCACAGGAGAGCUUGCUCUCUGGGUGGCGAGUGGCGGACGGGUGAGGAAUACAUCGGAAUCUACCUUUUCGUGGGGGAUAACGUAGGGAAACUUACGCUAAUACCGCAUGCGACCUACGGGUGAAAGUGGGGGACCGCAAGGCCUCACGCGAUUAG
rnacentral:rRNA from 1 species